GGCGAUGGCGCACAGAGAACCGACAAUCUUCCCCCAGACUCCCACCGGCCUGCAGGACGCAACGGCAAACAGAAAACAGACAACACAUUAGUCAUCCGCACCGCAUCGCCGCCAUGACGAUCAGUUCAAGAUUUUGAUGUUUUUUACUGGAUUUUAUAGUGAGUGCGAGCAAAAAUAAUGUUCUGCGGUUUGUCCACGACAUUUUUCCAACGGAGAAUUUCGAGAAUGUAAAUUUCAAAGAGGCUCUGCAUAAUUGAAAGAAUUGUAGAAUGGAAGAAUGGUUUUGCCUUUGAUUAUGGAAGCAGCUUGGAGCGUAUCAUACACAAAGCCUCAUCUGCUAAGACCAGCGAUUGAGGGCACAUCCGUCAACGACGCCUGCCUUUACAUGACUGACCGCAUGCGGGUCGUGCACGUGAUGACUUAACUCCCCCCACCACUUUUCGCAGGUACCCGCACCGCAAGCUCCCGCGCUACGUACCAUAUAAACCUCCCUACCUCUACCCUUCUCCCCACCACUUUUCACCGGUUGUCCGCAGGUAUAAAAGGGCAGCGCGCAGCGACCACAGUGCUCAGUCGUGUCUGAGUCGUCCAAUCGUCCAGUCGUAGAGUUUUAGGUUCUCCACUUCUCUCUAUCUCGUCCUUGGUCACUGGUUUGAGUCACACAGUUGUUAUUUAUACUGUUUAUGUACUUUUUGUCGUUUUUUGCACUCCGUGACGCACAAAACGCGUAAUUUUGCAGUUAUUAAUAUUUUAUGACAUUCCUAUAAUUAAAUUUAAAAUUGGAAACAAUAUUAAAC